rnacentral:rRNA from 18 species
ACCCUGUUGAGCUUGACUCUAGUCAGACUUUGUGAAUUGACUUGGGAGGUGUAGCAUAAGUGGGAGACGCAAGUCGACGAUGAAAUACCACUACUCCUGAUGUUAAUUUACUUAUUUCGUUGCAUAGAAUCGUACUUGAUUGUACUUGUUUCUGGAAUUAAUUGGAGGCCAGCAAUGGCCACUAAGAUCUACGCGAGAGACAUAGUCUGGUGGGGAGUUUGGCUGGGGCGGC